UCCCCGGCGCUUCCUCCCCGCCCCCUCUAGACGAGCGGAACGGAGCGGGCGAGCGAGCCGGAGUGAGCGUCAAGUGAGAGGCCGAGCGCAAGUCGCAGGCGUUCGCAGCUAUUUUGGUCCAGCCGAGGGAGCCGCCGGGUGGCCGCUGAUAGGCUGGAGCGGCGGGGCUGCGGCGGGAGAGACCGCGGCCCGUGCCCCGCCCCCGGGCGCCGGGCCCCCUCCGGCUCCGGACGCGGUGGGCUCAGGGGGCCGGGAAGCGGGCGGCGCGGCGGGGCUGCUGCAGUUGGCCGGCCUCCCGCCCGGACCGCGUCAUCCUCACCCCCACCGACCGCUGACGGGGCGCCUGGCCGCGCAGCCCGGGCAGCAUACGCGGAGUUCCGAGCUGCACGGUGUGGACGCGGGGGUGGCUGGGGCCGCUUGGAGCCAGAGGACCGAGAGCCUGGGCUCCGCGGCCCGCCCCGUGCUACUGCACGGGUGCCUCUUUGUCCUGCCCCUUUUCUUGCAAAUUUCCUCACCGCUCCUCGGUUUUAACUUUGAAAUGAUAGUUUUCUUAAUGAGGGUUGCAAGGAGAGCAGAAGGUGGAAGGAAAGACCAAGUGCGAGGAACCCGGGCAAUAACGACAUGGGACAGCAGAGCAGCCGGCGUGAAGGAUUGAGAUGAACUCCGCGAAACCACGGGAGAAUCCGUUCACUCACGGAGCCUCAGCCAACACUUCUCACUCUUUUUCCUCGCAGUCCUGAGUCGCCCUUUCCCUCCCCAAGCCGGGUGAAUGGAGAGGGGUGGGUCUUAAAGGCUUCUACCCCAGUGCUUCACUAGCUCCUCUUUGUUGCUGGAUCUCCCUGAGAAGAACUGCUGACAACCUGCUCCCACUUCUGGGGAAGAGAAACUCUGGGGCAUUGGACAGACCGGUGCAGGAGAGCAGGACUAGCCCCGGGUUCUGAUAGCUCCCUUGAUUUGGAGUGGUGCAACCUGGAAACAGAGAAGAGGAAGGCUUCAACUUUGAGACGAAGAGAAGGAAGAAACACUGGGUUGAGAAUGCUAUCACUUGUGAUUUCACACAGAAAGACUGCUGUGACAAAGCCAGAGAGAACUGAAGAAGCCAGGCACUGAUGAGGCAAGGCUUUUGUCCGCAACUUGGUACCUGCCCUUAAGUUGGGAUACCGGAGUUCUACUCUCCUUUCUGCCACUGUUACAGAUCUUAAAACAGCCCCAAACAUUGGUUUCUUCAUCUGAAGGAAAUAGACUAGAAUAUUCCCACCAGCUCUCAUAAUCCCUGGUUCCCACCUCUUCUCAGAUACAUAGAUAUGUGAAGAAGGUUGAUCCAUUGGGAUGAUAGCCAAGACUUGGAAAUGAGCCACACAGUGGAAGAGAGUGCUUCCUUUAGUUUAAUCUAGAGAUCACAGUGCCAGAGCAGAGUAGAUCACACUUUGUUUUCCCAGCUACUAAAAAGGCUGAUGGAUCACAGAAUGUUAAAAGUUAAAGGUAUCUUGGAGAUCAUCUGGACUCGACCUCUCAUUAUUGUCAUUAAUAAAGUUCAGAGAAGCAUAGUGACUUGCCUAAAGCCACAUGAUUGACCACAUCAGAGUCUGUCAUUUCUGAGCUCCAUCCAUCAGUCGCAUACAUGCGACAGUGUAUUAGCGCUGAAGCCUGGGGCUUGAAGAUAUUUCCAAAUGCCUGUCUUCUGUGGCCUUACAUGCAGAUGCUGUCAUUAUACUUUGUUGGACUGGGAUCAAGAUGGGUCUUCGAUAGAACCAGUCUGCCAUUCUGAGUGACUUUGGAAUCCUAAUAAGAAGAAAAAGAAAUGGACCCCCAGGGAACUCACUCUAAGGGGACCCAGGACUACCUCACUCAGCCAGGGUAAUUGGACUCAUGGUAAAGCCCAGAGGUAGACUACUCUGCACCCUGACAUGCAUCAGGCUCGGCACCCUGAGCCAUUAUCCCGAGCAGCCACUAGAUGUCCACAAUGCCUCAUAGGGUUUGCCAGGAGUGAGCAAUCUUCGGCAGGCUACUAUCUUGGCCUCCCAACAGGCUUUUGGGUCCCUUAUGAUAGGUCCAUCAGUAGAAGAGCACAGAUGCUCUGAAUCUCUAGUUCCCAUUUUCAGUACCAUUGGGCUACCAAACCCUACUCAAGCACCUUUUCCAUUUUUGUACUUUUUAUUCUUCCAUUUGAGCAAAGGAAGAAAAUGGUUU